UGCAGGAUUGUCCCUUGAAGAAACAAACCGCCAAGCAGAAUUGUCCAAUAAGGAUUUCCAUCAUCAUCUAACGCCUUGACGUAGACAACAGCUGCAUAGGCGGCCGUGGAAGCAUCGGCAAAUCCAUGAAGUUCGACGUUAGUUCUGAUUUGCAGCUAACGGAAAUUCAUUAAUUCCAUCUUCGGCCGUCUGUAAAAGCGUGCGUACUGCAAGAUAAGGAGCAGCGGCCGUUCCAAAUGUAACAGCCUUGUCUCACAAAAUCUUUACAUUGAAAAAUGUAAUGAUCGCCACUACAAAAGGUACAUUUGAGCGAAGAUACAGACGCUGUCGCGAGAAAAGAUUUGGACUUAUGUGACUUUGUUUGGUCUUCUAUCAUUUCCAAUGAUUUAAAUCGAACUUCAAGAA